UACGUAGGGGGCAAGCGUUGUCCGGAUUUAUUGGGCGUAAAGAGCGUGUAGGCGGCCAUACAGGUCCGUUGUGAAAACUCGAGGCUUAACCUCGAGCUGUCGGCGGAAACCAUCUGGCUAGAGUCCGGAAGAGGAGAAUGGAAUUCCCGGUGUAGCGGUGAAAUGCGCAGAUAUCGGGAAGAACACCCGUGGCGAAGGCGGUUCUCUGGGACGGUACUGACGCUGAGACGCGAAAGCGUGGGGAGCGAACAGGG
rnacentral:rRNA from 1 species